GGCUUGGUACUUGACCUUUGCUAUUCAGUGAGAACAAGAGAAGAUAAAAUAUGAGUUUGCUAUACUUCCUGAAUCAUUGGAAUAGCUCUGAGGUGUACGAACUUGAACCAGAGUGACUUAGAGGAGAGCUUUGGGACUUCCUGAUUAUCAUAGAGUUAGAUCUUCCAUUUGGGCGCACACUUCCAGUCUGGUUCCGGGCGUUGUCGCUACUGUGUAAAUUCUUGCAAGGUUAAAGUCAAAGCUUUUCAUUUCCUGAUGGGGUUCUGGAGAACUUGGUGGGGGAUUUCUAGGACAAUGAAGGAGGGAGCAACUCUAAUUCUUUAAAGGGUCCUUGAAGGUCCUUGUAAGCACAGUAGUUCAGGUUGGCCCACCCUUCAUGAUGAUGAUGAUGAUGAUGAUGAUGAUGAUGAUGAUGAUGAUGGUGAUGACUCACAUUUACAGUGAUGAUGGGGGUUGCUUGAAAUGUUCUUCAAUCAGGUCAGUUCUUGGGACAAGUCAGAGUGAAAGCGACUGAUCAUUUAACGUGUUCUCCAUACCCUGCAUUGCUGGUUAUGCAGCUUUCACGCUCUCAUUUCUCCAAGUUCCCAACCGAUGAGAAGCUGAAAGACCAUGUUACGCACAUUCCAUGCCAGGCAUCUGGAAGAUUGAAGAAUGAAAGCCAGUCAAUGGAGAUGGAAGGGUAAACGGAAGGAUCAUCAAUGGAUUAUAAAGCCAUCAGAUGAAAAGAUGCAGUAGAAGAGUGUAUUUUAAGGAUGCCAAAGCGUAACCCACAGAUGUCUUGCUAAUUUCAAGGAGAACAAAACGUCUUUACAAAGGCAAGAUCUCAUCUUACACUAGAAUAACACACCUGACAUCAUGUACCCCAAGCACAAAAGCAUCACCUCUGAAAUAUUUCUGCCAAAACCUAUUCAAACCCUCAAACCUUAAGUUUACAGCAACUAUAAGGGCUAGAGGAACAGGUUAAUGACUCCAAGAGUCAACAAUCCAACACAUACAGAAUGUGGAACAUUACACAAAAACUUCUCAGUAUCUUCAAAAAUGCUGGCAUCACACACACACACAAAGGAGGGAUAGGGAAAGUUUCUUCUAGAAUAAAAAACACUAACGAGACGCAA